AGCAGCCGCGGUAAUUCCAGCUCCAAUAGCGUAUAUUAAAGUUGUUGCAGUUAAAAAGCUCGUAGUUGAAUUUCGGGGUCAGUAGGCUGGUCAUGCCACAGGUAUGUACUGGUCUCACUGAUUCCUCCUUCCUGAUGAACCGUAAUGCCAUUAAUUUGGUGUUGCGGGGAAACUGGACUGUUACUUUGAAAAAAUUAGAGUGUUUAAAGCAGGCUAACGCUUGAAUACAUUAGCAUGGAAUAAUGAAGUAGGACGUUCGAUCCUAUUUUGUUGGUUUCUAGGAUUGACGUAAUGAUUAAUAGGGAUAGUUGGGGGCAUUAGUAUUCAAUUGUCAGAGGUGAAAUUCUUGGAUUUAUUGAAGACUAACUACUGCGAAAGCAUUUGCCAAGGAUGUUUUCAUUAAUCAAGAACGAAAGUUAGGGGAUCGAAGACGAUCAGAUACCGUCGUAGUCUUAACCAUAACUAUGCCGACUAGGGAUCGGAUGAUGUUAAUUAUUUAAUGACUCAUUC
rnacentral:rRNA from 1 species